GGGUGGAAUCCCCCCCCCCCCAUUUUGAAAAGAUACACUGAACAAUGCACAGGACAGAACAAACCAGCUCCUGAAGUAUGGGCAGCAACAUCUGUUCUAACGUCAGAAGAGAAACUAGCUGUCACUCGCACUAAACACCACGUUGCUGGAAAAAAAAACUAAGCUGGCAACCCACUUACAAGGAAAAAAAGCGAAAGAACAAGAACUCCAAAAGGAAACCUCUGGCUUUUACUUCAUGCAAACCCACUGUCAAGAAUGGUGUUCAAAAGGUACCUGUGGGAAUAUGUGUCUAGCUUUUCCAAUUUCGAUGACUUCAAGCUGCACAUCCUUUUACAACCACAGUGUUAACAACAACUUUGAAAGUUUCCAGCUCUGCAGAGGAAGCAGGCAGUUGAAGAUUGUCUCCUAACACAGAGCGUGACUGUCCCCUUCCACCGCCUCUUGACCAGGAGAUAAAUGACUUAUGUUAGCAGCCAGCAGGGACAGGAGGUCAGGCAUGGGGCCCCUCCCAAAAAGUCCUGCCAACACACCCACCCUCUACUGCAAGGAAAGAAAGACUGGGAAAUGGAGAUACUGUAUGUGGUCUGUGGUUAAUUUAUUGCCUUUACCCCCAUUAACACACAGGGCCUUCUCCUGCACAUUAUACAGCCAAUGGUGAAACUGAACCGCAGCUACUGUAUCUAGUGCAAUAAAGUCACCAAUCAGUUAAACAGCAUUGUGCAGCUGUACUGAGGCCCAGUCUUCAAAGCAGCCUUCUCAUACAUUGCAGUGGUAGUGGAAAUCUAUAGGAGUACUUAAACCAGAAGACCAAAACAAAAGCAAUUACAAAUGGAUUUUAGGAGAAACCACACCUGUAAAACAUAUGAUCAUAAAUGACUGUAACGCAAGAGGAGGCUUUCAGAUUAAUCACGUAUAAAAAGAACUAUAAAAACAACAGGAAAAAUAAUACAAUUAAA